rnacentral:rRNA from 1 species
UAACGGACGCAGUAGCAAUAUCCGCGGUUAUUGGCGAAAGGGUGAGUAAUGCAUGGGUAACGUACCUCGAACUCGGGGAUAACAGCGGGAGCAAUCCCUUUAGCGAAAGUGCUGCUAAUACCCGAUGAAGUCACCGGGUCGCAUGGCCUGGUGAUCAAAGAUGGGGACCGCAAGGCCUAUCGGUUUGAGAGCGGCCCAUGUCCUAUCAGCUAGUUGGCAGGGUAACGGCCUACCAAGGCGGCGACGGGUAGCGGGACUGAGAGGUUGGCCCGCCACAUCGGGACUGAGACACUGCCCGGACACCUACGGGUGGCUGCAGUAACGAAUAUUGGGCAAUGGGCGCAAGCCUGACCCAGCAAUGCCGCGUGCAGGAGGAAGUCCUUCGGGAUGUAAACUGCUGUCAGGGGUCAACAAGCAAAGGGACCUAAUACGUCCUGGCGUUGAGUCGCCCCAGAGGAAGCCUCGACUAACUCUGUGCCAGCAGUCGCGGUAAGACAGAGGAGGCGAGCGUUGUUCGGA